GUGAGACUCGUGCAUUUUGUGAGGAUCUCUGAAGACUAAUGCCGCAAUGUGUCGGACGGGGGUUCGAUUCCCCCCGGCUCCACCA
rnacentral:tmRNA from 1 species